UACGUAGGGGGCUAGCGUUGUCCGGAGUUACUGGGCGUAAAGCGCACGCAGGCGGUCUGCUAAGUUUGGAGUGACAGUUGGUGGCUCAACCACCAAAGUGCUUUGAAAACUGACAGACUUGAGGGCUUCAGAGGGACACGGAAUUCCGGGUGGAGUGGUGAAAUGCGUAGAGAUCUGGAAGAACACCAAAGGCGAAGGCAGCAUCCUGGGAAGUUCCUGACGCUCGGGUGCGAAAGCCAGGGGAGCGAACGGG
rnacentral:rRNA from 1 species